CCUCCAGUAGCUCAGCGGUAGAGCAUGGAGGAAAGAUGUUAUAUACAUGGUGAAUAUCUCCCCGUCGCUGGUUCGACUCCGGCCUGGAGGU